ACGGGUGAGUAAUGCAUCGGAAUGUACCGUGUAGUGGGGGAUAGCUCGGCGAAAGCCGGAUUAAUACCGCAUACGCCCUGAGGGGGAAAGUGGGGGACCGAAAGGCCUCACGUUAUACGAGCAGCCGAUGUCUGAUUAGCUAGUUGGUGGGGUAAAGGCUCACCAAGGCGACGAUCAGUAGCGGGUCUGAGAGGAUGAUCCGCCACACUGGGACUGAGACACGGCCCAGACUCCUACGGGAGGCAGCAGUGGGGAAUUUUGGACAAUGGGCGCAAGCCUGAUCCAGCCAUGCCGCGUGUCUGAAGAAGGCCUUCGGGUUGUAAAGGACUUUUGUCCGGGAGCAAAUCCCAGUGGUUAAUACCUACUGGGGCUGAGAGUACCGGAAGAAUAAGCACCGGCUAACUACGUGCCAGCAGCCGCGGUAAUACGUAGGGUGCAAGCGUUAAUCGGAAUUACUGGGCGUAAAGCGUGCGCAGGCGGUUGUGCAAGUCUGAUGUGAAAGCCCCGGGCUUAACCUGGGAACGGCAUUGGAGACUGCACGACUAGAGUGCGUCAGAGGGGGGUAGAAUUCCGCGUGUAGCAGUGA
rnacentral:rRNA from 1 species